UUUUUUAAACCCUCCAAAGCACUAAUUUUUGCCCCCUUGGGGACAAUGUCACAUACCCCCCCGCCCCAACACUCCCCAACAGAAUGAAAACACACUUGUAAGUAUCCUGUUAGGGAGAAAUAACGAUCUGCAUUGGAGAAUGGAGCUAAGGGGUGUAUGUAGAUGGCCUCUGCAGACAGAAGGUUUCUAAGCAUGCAGGGUUCCUAUGGGUUUGCUUCUGUGUUGGACCAAAGGUGAAGACUUCCAUGAAUCCAGAGAAGGAUGGCCCCACAGCUCUCCAGCCCACAGCCAAAGUCACCCCAUAAGGAUGGGGAGGGUAGGCAUUGCUCUUAUUCCUAGUAGUGAAAGGGGUAAAGGACCAGUUGCAAUCCUUCCCUCAUUUCUCACUUGUCCCCCAUCAUCCUCCAUCUAUCUGCCCUCGCAAUGACAAGGUGGAGAUGGCUCAGAGGAAGUCACUCUAAGGUUGGCAGGAUUACUGUUUCACAACAGAAAACACAAGUGGAGUAAAAUUACAGAGUACACACAUCAUUUCUGUGAUUUUCCUCUCAAAUCUUCUGUGGGUGGUGAGAAGAGAUGGGAGGAGUGUAAGUGGGGCCCUGGGAGGGAGAGGGAGGUGUUACAGUAAACAGUGCUGUUUUGAUGGUCAACACCCCAUUCCCUUCAGACAUAAAGAUGUGACCUGGGGGAAAUGAAUUCUGGAUUCUGAACAUAAGGAUCAGAUUUAUAUUCCUGUCUCAACUGUUGACGUUUAUCCCAAGAACUAGUCAUUCUGCAAAUGUCUGUGGGAAAUUCCCAGAUUGAAUUUCCCAGGGAGAAACAUCAUGUGACAUAUUGGGAAAGUGGCUGACAAUGGUCUUCCCUAAUAAGUUCAUUGAGAAGAGAAGUGGGCGGAUGAUUCCCAGUACUCACUUUCAGGAGCCCCUAAAAAAGCACGCUAUGAUCUAAUUGGAAGCCUAUCAGUUUGAUUAUUCAGUGCCUUAUGAUCCUUAGCAUUCUUGAUUUUUGUUUUUAAUAAAUGGCUUUGUUGAGUUCCUUAGUCUUGACUUCCAAAUCUGAUACUCACUCCCCCCCUUCUCUCCCUCUGGCUGUUCUAAGCCUUGGGGAAUCGCUUGCAGUCUGCAAAGCCUUCCCUGUUAACAAUCUCC
rnacentral:lncRNA from 1 species